GAUAAACGCUGGCGGCGUGCAUGAGACAUGCAAGUCGAACGAAGGAUCGGGCUUGCUCGAUCCUUAGUGGCGGACGGCUGAGUAACGCGUAGGUGACCUACCCCGAAGUGGGGAAUAACUGCCCGAAAGGGUGGCUAAUACCGCAUGUGGUCGCACGUUCAUUCGUGCGAGUAAAGCCGCAAGGCGCUUCGGGAGGGGCCUGCGUCCGAUUAGCUCGUUGGUGGGGUAAUGGCUUACCAAGGCGACGAUCGGUAGGUGGUCUGAGAGGACGAUCACCCAGACUGGGACUGAGACACGGCCCAGACUCCUACGGGAGGCAGCAGUCGGGAAUUUUGCCCAAUGGGGGAAACCCUGAAGCAGCAACGCCGCGUGAGGGAUGAAGGCCUUCGGGUUGUAAACCUCUUUUGUCAGGGACGAUGAUGACGUUACCUGGCGAAUAAGCCACGGCUAACUACGUG
rnacentral:rRNA from 1 species